rnacentral:tRNA from 1 species
UUUCAUGGUGUAGUUGGUUAUCACGUUCGCUUUACAUGCGAAAGGUCUCCAGUUCGAACCUGGAUGAAAA